UCGAGAAUCUUCGGCAAUGGGCGAAAGCCUGACCGAGCGACGCCGCGUGCGGGAUGAAGGCCUUCGGGUUGUAAACCGCUGUCAGAGGGGCGGAAAUGCGUUGGGGUUCUCCCCAGCGCUUGACUUAACCUCAGAGGAAGCACGGGCUAAGUUCGUGCCAGCAGCCGCGGUAAGACGAACCGUGCAAACGUUAUUCGGAAUCACUGGGCUUAAAGCGUGCGUAGGCGGCGCAGAAAGUUGGGUGUGAAAUGCCUCGGCUCAACCGAGGAAUUGCGCCCAAAACUACUGUGCUCGAGGGAGUUAGAGGUGAGCGGAACUCACGGUGGAGCGGUGAAAUGCGUUGAUAUCGUGAGGAACACCGGAGGCGAAAGCGGCUCACUGGGGCUUUUCUGACGCUGAGGCACGAAAGCUAGGGGAGCAAACGG
rnacentral:rRNA from 1 species